rfam:Ictidomys tridecemlineatus contig123264, whole genome shotgun sequence.
GGAAUUGUGGCUCAGCGGUAGAGCGCUUGCCAAGCACAUGUGAGGCCCUGAGUUCAAUCCUCAGCACCA